AAAGAAAAGUGGACUACAUGCUGCCAACCGAGUCACAGAUAAGCAUGUGAACUUUGCUAAUCAGAAGAUGAAGGUCUCCCUGGCUGCUCAGACUUUGAGUAACUCUGUGGCAGUGGCGCUCCGCACCUUGCAGGACGUGGGCUAUGCAGAGUUCAAAGAUUGUGAGGCUACUUCUGAAUUAAUUAAGUUGAUAUGUUGGUCAGCUAUCCCAAAGCGGAACAUUUUGGCAUCAGGAACGAUUCAAUAAUUAUGACCCUCCUCAAAUUCAACAUUAUGCAAGAACUUGGUUAAAACUGUUUAUACCUACCUCAUAC
ensembl:lncRNA